GGAUAUGAAGAUGUAAUGUUCUAGCGGCGGACGGGUGAGUAACGCGUGAGCAACCUGUCCCUUACAGGGGGAUAACACCGCGAAAGUUGUACUAAUACCGCAUAAGACCACAGAGUCACAUGGCGUUAGGGGUCAAAGGAGCAAUCCGGUAAGGGGUGGGCUCGCGUCCGAUUAGAUAGUUGGUGAGGUAACGGCCCACCAAGUCGACGAUCGGUAGCCGACCUGAGAGGGUGAUCGGCCACAUUGGGACUGAGACACGGACCCAACUCCUACGGGAGGCAGCAGGUGGGAAUAUUGGCAAUGGGGGAAACCCUGACCCAGCAACGCCGCGUGAGGGAAGAAGGUUUUCGGAUCGUAAACCUCUGUCCUUGGUGAAGAGUAAGAGACGGUAGCCAAGGAGGAAGCCCCGGCUAACUACGUGCCAGCAGCGGC
rnacentral:rRNA from 1 species